rnacentral:miRNA from 1 species
AUAUGUAUGUAUGUAUGUAUGUAUGUGUGCAUGUAUGCAUGUUGCAUGUAUAUAUUAUGCAUGCAUGU